GGCGGUUCUCGGGUGACGCACCCUGGAAUCGGGCUCCCUCUUCUCUGGUUCCGGGUGCAUCACCUGAGAACCUCA
rfam:Myotis lucifugus cont2.22639, whole genome shotgun sequence.